rnacentral:rRNA from 1 species
CACGUAGGGUGCGAGCGUUGUCCGGAAUUAUUGGGCGUAAAGAGCUCGUAGGCGGUGUGUCGCGUCGGCCGUGAAAACCUGCAGCUUAACUGUGGGCUUGCGGUCGAUACGGGCAUCACUGGAGUUCGGCAGGGGAGACUGGAAUUCCUGGUGUAGCGGUGAAAUGCGCAGAUAUCAGGAGGAACACCGAUGGCGAAGGCAGCUUACUGGGCCGAUACUGACGCUGAGGAGCGAAAGCGUGGGGAGCGAACAGG